rnacentral:rRNA from 1 species
AGUGGCGGACGGGUGAGUAACGCGUGAGGAACCUACCUCGGAGUGGGGAAUAACAGACCGAAAGGCCUGCUAAUACCGCAUGAUGCAGUUGGACCGCAUGGUCCUGACUGCCAAAGAUUUAUCGCUCUGAGAUGGCCUCGCGUCUGAUUAGCUUGUUGGCGGGGUAAUGGCCCACCAAGGCGACGAUCAGUAGCCGGACUGAGAGGUUGGCCGGCCACAUUGGGACUGAGACACGGUCCAAACUCCUACGGGAGGCAGCAGUGAGGAAUAUUGGUCAAUGGACGAGAGUCUGAACCAGCCAAGUAGCGUGAAGGAUGACUGCCCUAUGGGUUGUAAACUUCUUUUAUACGGGAAUAAAGUUAGCCACGUGUGGCUUUUUGUAUGUACCGUAUGAAUAAGGAUCGGCUAACUCCGUGCCAGCAGCCGCGGUAAUACGGAGGAUCCGAGCGUUAUCCGGAUUUAUUGGGUUUAAAGGGAGCGUAGGCGGGUUGUUAAGUCAGUUGUGAAAGUUUGCGGCUCAACCGUAAAAUUGCAGUUGAUACUGGCGACCUUGAGUGCAACAGAGGUAGGCGGAAUUCGUGGUGUAGCGGUGAAAUGCUUAGAUAUCACGAAGAACUCCGAUUGCGAAGGCAGCUUACUGGAUUGUAACUGACGCUGAUGCUCGAAAGCGUGGGUAGCAAACAGGAUUAGAUACCCUGGUAGUCCACGCUGUAAACGAUGGAUGCUGGAUGUCGGGGCGCAAGCUUCGGUGUCGUAGUUAACGCGAUAAGCAUCCCGCCCUGGGGGACUACGGUCGCAAGGCUGAAACUCAAAGAAAUUGACGGGGGCCCGCACAAGCGGUGGAGUAUGUGGUUUAAUUCGAUGCAACGCGAAGAACCUUACCUGGGUUUGACAUCCACGGAAUUUCUGUGAAAGCAGGGAGUGCCCGCAAGGGAGCCGUGAGACAGGUGCUGCAUGGCUGUCGUCAGCUCGUGUCGUGAGAUGUUGGGUUAAGUCCCGCAACGAGCGCAACCCCUAUGCACAGUUGCCAGCAGGUGAAGCUGGGCACUCUGUGCAGACCGCCCGGGUUAACCGGGAGGAAGGUGGGGAUGACGUCAAGUCAUCAUGGCCCUUACACCCAGGGCGACACACGUACUACAAUGGCACAUACAAAGGGCAGCGAAACCGCGAGGUCAAGCCAAUCCCAAAAACUGUGUCCCAGUCCGGAUAGGAGUCUGCAACCCGACUCCUUGAAGUUGGAAUCGCUAGUAAUUCCGGAUCAGCAUGCCGGGGUGAAUGCGUUCCCGGGCCUUGCACACACCGCCCGUCA